rnacentral:rRNA from 1 species
CUACCUCUGGGUGGGGGAAUAACAGCCGGAAACGGCUGCUAAUACCGCAUAAUGCAGCGGCACCACAUGGUGACAGUUGUUAAAGCGGGGGAUCGUAAGACCUCGCGCCUGGAGAGGAGCCUGCGGCAGAUUAGCUAGUUGGUAGGGUAACGGCCUACCAAGGCUUCGAUCUGUAGCCGGCCUGAGAGGGCGGACGGCCACACUGGCACUGACAUACGGGCCAG